UACGUAGGGUGCAAGCGUUUGUCCGGAAUUAUUGGGCGUAAAGAGCUUGUAGGCGGUUUGUCGCGUCUGCUGUGAAAUUUCGGGGCUCAACCCCGAACUUGCAGUGGGUACGGGCAGGCUGGAGUUCGGUAGGGGAGACUGGAAUUCCUGGUGUAGCGGUGAAAUGCGUAGAGAUCAGGAAGAACACCAGUGGCGAAGGCGCUCUGCUAGGCCGUAACUGACACUGAGGGACGAAAGCUAGGGGGAGCGAAUGGG
rnacentral:rRNA from 1 species